CAGGUCGACUUGGUGGAGAUUCGGUCCUUGUGGCCUUGGGCGGAGCGCUUGAGCCAGGUUGCUCCUGUGGGUCACUCUGGAUGGGAGUGUCUGCUGGAGGACUGAAUGUAAUGUAAAUGUUGAGCGGCUUCAUUGCAGGUAGAUUGUAUGUUUUAAAAUGAGAUGAAAACAUUUAAAUUACUACCCAUCUGGCACGCUGACCCUCAAUACGGGGGCCCCUCAGUGGUGUGUGCUUAGUCCCCUCCUGUACUCCCUGUUCACCCAUGACUGUAUCAAAUCAAAUGUUAUUUGUCACAUACACAUGGUUAGCAGAUGUUAAUGCGAGUGUAGCGAAAUGCUUGUGCUCCUAGUUCUGACAAUGCAGUAAUAACCAACGAGUAAUCUAACAUAACAAUUCCACAACUACGACCUUACACACACAAGUAUAAAGGGAUAAAUAAUAUGUACAUAAAGAUAUAUGAAUGAGUGAUGUGUAGAGGAAUGCUAAUUCUUAUGUAGGUGACAUUACACUACUGUAGCUGGGAUAACGUAUUUUCAUAGUAAAACAGGUUGGGCCCCAUACAGGAUAUUUCUCACACACACACUCACUUUGAUCAUCCAGAACACUGUCACAACAGGAUACUCCUAGCCACAGGUGCUAGCCGGCAGUUCGGCCACAACUCCCCUGAAGAUAGGGACGCACACACAUUACACACGGACUCUUGAGGACAGGACAGGGACGCAUACGCUCUUACACACUGACCCCAGAAGACAGGGACGACGCACAUACAGUACACACAUAGCUGCCGAGGACACCCAGAUAAGACACCCACAGAUUGGCAGAAAGCCUAGACUUAGAGACAAACUAGCACACACACAUAAUCUCCUUCCCAGCCGAACAUUGUGUGACUGAAGAUAGCGCACACACCAGAUCUCCUUUUCAGCUGAACAUGGUGUGACGACCAAGAACAGGCAUGGCAGGAUUCUACGAUGAUGGACAGACAACAGAGCCAAUGCCGGAUGACUACACCCCAGCCUGAUCCAAUCCGAAGAUCCGAUCUCCUAGAAAUCAACCUACUUUCUGUACUGUAUAAAACAUGUAUGCUGUCUAAAUUAGGGGCUCUCUUUUUCUGACUCCCUCUGAGUUCAAGGAACAGAGCCCGUAUACGCUGUACACAAUACUUUUACUCUGAAUAAACUGCAGAUUGUUAAACUUUAACUCCUCGUCUGAACUGAUCCUUGACCGACUCGCUCACCUAAGCAUCUCACCUUUUACCAACAGAAUUCUUGGUAGCAGAGGAUGGUUUACUAAAGACCCAUAAAACGUGAGAGUACGGGAGCGGGUGGUGAAAGGACGGUUCAAGGAGAAAGACGAGCCAAUUCGGGGGAGGACAAAACUCUGCUCAACUCGGAGAACUGAUCUCAGGUCGACCACUAAAAAGAUACACCGGGUCGCAGAGGGGGAGCUGACGGAUGACCAGGAACAACCAAGGGUAAAGGUUGGUGACUGGGUAAGGAUCAAAGUCCACAAAGAAAGUGGGCUGAUCCUAGGUGGACUGGACCGUACGAAGUGAAGGAAGUUACUUCACACUCAGUCCAGGUCAAAGGUAAACCAGGCGCACCUUGGCACCACCUGACGCAUUGUACACCAGCACCAGCACCUGACAGAACACUGACAGAAGUCAGAAGCGAUUUGAUCGCAUCUAAUUCGGCUACAAAUUCUGCUAGCUCUGACAACUGAAGGAUGUGGAGACGCCUCCAAUCCUCAGAUGCCAGCGAAGGGCACCCUUACUCUAGACGACAUAGGGCACCAUGGGAAAGAUUAGGAUGCUCUCUUCCAAUGUUUGUGCUAUUGCUGUUCACCUCGGGUGUAGUAGUAGGAAUAAUGCUUUGGGCUUUCGAACAUACAGUUAACAAAACGGAUAUAAUACCAGAGGGCACUAAUUCCACAAUUGACAUCACUGAUCAAGUACUCCCCGGUUAUUGAUUUUGGUUUGAUUGUUCAGAUAACACCACUGAAAUUAAACAGGAGGUUAAGGUAGACUAACAUUAGAAUCUGUUUUCAUUAUGGGGAACAAUGAAAGGCCCGCAGAGGGGAUUGCAGGCGGAGGUUUUUAUGUUAAAGGGACAGUGCACAUUUAUCACAGUUGUGUGUGUGUCUAAUGGCUGGGGAUUUAAGAAGUAUUUUUGGGGAGACAAUUUGGAGAAACACGAAUAAAACAUGAAACACCGAGACAAAUUAUUUGAGUUUGAGUGGAUUAUCAUAAUUAUUAGGUUUUGUUUUUGUAGUAAACGUUUGGGUUAAGGGGAUUUUCACGUUCCCAGAGACAUGGUAUUUUACAGAUAGGUGAAAAGGCAGACGGAGGGGCCCUCCCCCGCACUGCAGAGACCUUGAAAGUUGGAGAGAAGAGAGGAGAGGUUUUUGGAAAGGGGGGGGCCAGGACAGGCAAAGAUAGCAGUUGCUGAGUGGAGAAAGGGGGGAGAGUUGGACAUGUGGAAAAUGUAGGGGGCGCUCCUACAGGAUAAUGUCAGAACAUUAAGGAUACUAUACUAAUCUUACCUAAGUCAUUAUUUAGAGUAGGUAAGGUUGAUACCUGGGCAGAGCCAGGUAUCAAAAGGGGGAUGGGUAAAUUGUGGUCUAGGAUAGGAUGGGGACUAUUGGAUAAGAAACUAAUAAUUUAAAAAUGUAGCUAACAAUUGGGCAUAGAAGUUAAAGAUAUAAUCAGAUAAAACAUAUGAGGAAUUGUUUGUUAACCAAGCCUGUAUGUCCAGGAUUUUAUGCAUUACAGGUGAACUACAGGUGAAGUCACUCAAUCCAGUCCCAGAGGCUUGGGGACCAUAGAAGACCCCUGGUGACAGCUAGCUGAAAGAGCUACCCAGAUUCAUAUCGCACGGCGGAAGGGUAAGACACUUUUUCACUGUCGGACAAUAAACAGAGUUCGGGAGAAGAACUGGAAUUAACAGAAUUCCGGGGGCCAACUCUCGAAUGAAGUAAACCCUACCUGUCCUAUCACCCCUGUUUUUGUUCAUAGAAGUGAGGAUGUGUCUGGCUCUGGCUAAGUGAUGUGUAUUUUGUUCCAAAAUGAACAUAAGAGAUCCCUAGAUCUGGGUAGACAGGAAGUUAGAGUAGAGAUUACAUGAUAACCGACUGCGGACUGUUCUAGGAUUGGAGAAGAGGGUAUCCUUAUAGCAUAGAGGAUCCCACAAAGGUGGAUAGGUUUUCCAUGAUAUGGGGAAACCUGGGAGCACUGUUGAACUUUGUAAAGGUGAUGAAAUCCUACUAACCAUAACAAAUAUUAAGCUCUAUGAUGCAGGCACUCACACCCUCGGACUACAAAGGACGAGGACAGACAUGAUGGGUGUGUUUUCUAUUAAGGUACUGCCAAGACCAGAGGUAGCCGGACACACUCCUCUACCACCACUGUGUUAAAAAUACCAUUCAGGUAAUUAAUCUUAGAGACUAUUCGGCUAUUGAUCAAUUAGGAACUGGGACUGGUUUUGAUUAUGGGAGAUUGCCUGAAGCUGAUUGCAGUAGUAACAUAACCAUUAAUUCCACUUGGCCAGUUACAGGCCUAAACCAAACUAGUGGUCUGGCUGAUGUGAGGUGGAUGUGUGGAGCCAAAAAGAGUGCUGAGACCCAUUCUUAGAGGAGAAUGGCAAGAUACGUGUGGUCUGACCAGUGAUAAUUCCACUGACCAUUGUUGAUGUUGCUGCUGAACAGCUGCUGAGUUCUGUAACCAGGGGACCUGAAAACAUUCCAUCCCAUGGGAGACAUAGAUGUAGUGCUCCAGGGACAGAGGAUGUAGUUGACAUACACACCAACCUGUUGGGAGUGCCAGUGGGGGUUCCUCAUGAGUUUCAGGCCUUGGGUAGGAAUGAUGGACUCUGGCACUUACUACCUACUAUGGGUCCAGCCAUGGUGGAUGCUAGACAGACUGCAUGGAUUAAUUAUAUCUACUAUAAUCAACAGCGUUUUGUGAAUUACUCCCGUGAUGCACUCACUGGUAUGUCUGAACAGCCUGAGGCCACAUUUGGGGUUUCCAGACAGAAUAGACUUGCCUUGGGAUAUGCUUCUUGCCAGUCAGGGGGACGUUUGCAAGAUGUUCGGUAAACAAUGUUGCACGUAUAUUCCUAAUAAUACCAGUCCAGAUGAUAUCUAGGGCGGGCUUGAUGCACUAUCUGAUAAGAUGAGGUCCACAAGGGGUGGAGGAGUCUGUUCUCUUGGCCUGGUUUGGUAAAUGCACUGAUAUGAUGGUUACUGGAUUUCUGACCUAAUUCUUGUAUUAUUUGUUAUUGAUGUGAUGUGCUGCUUGCAUCAUACCGUGUUCUAAGAAAUAUGUUACAGAUAUGGUGAAGGCUUCAGGCAUGUUGCCUUUGCUUGAUGCUCCAGUUGGAGAUGCCGAUACGGAAGCAUGCUUUCAGGAGAGGAUGGGACUGACUGAGGAUGACCCAUGGUAUGCUGAGGGUGAGGUAGUAGAAUACAUUUUUACACCACCACAGUUCCUUGUUAUACAUUUUAUGAUAGGUUUUCUUUCCAGUAUGUUUGUUCUCCCUGUUGUGAAGGUUUAGAGUCCCUGGGUGGCAAGGAGCCCACCUGGUACAGGAUAGGAGUAGCUGAGAGGACCAGAUGGUUUCUAAUAAUUCUUUACUCUGUUUUCCAUGACCAAAGUUUUGUCCUACAUCUUACAUGUCAAUAACAAUAAAGUUUUAUCCUGUUUUUGAUAAGUGACACCCUUGCGGGUGACAAAAGGGGGAAACAAAGCAUACAACAAAGGCAUAUAUCACUUGUUAUUAAUAAUAAACUUUUUAUUAUUUUCAUGAAAUGCUAUGACUGCUGAAAUAAAGGAAUGAGUGACACCCUAGCGGGUGUCAAAAGGGGACUUAAAUUUCACACUAUUUUCUUUUGUUCUGUUUUUGAAUGAGCUGUUCUCUUUUGACAUGAAGGUAGUUUAAACUUUGUAACUGUUAUAUGAUUCAUUGCUGAAUUUUUGUUCACACCCUUGGGGUUAUUUUACAUUAUAGCCAUUACCAUAUAUAAGAUUGAAUAUUAUCUGUUGUUGCCUUGUGUGGAGGUAUGUAUGUGUUAUGCUACCUAGCUGAUUUGAAACAUUGUUAAAAGUAUCAGGGCCAUGGAACUUUCUCAUGCUGGAAAAAUACAGAAGGGAGGGCACAUUCAGAGCGUGGGGUUGCGAGAACAAGCGGUCUUUUUGUUAGAUAACAGGAGCCAGGUGCGAGAUAACGGUAUGGAGCAUGAGACCCAUCUUUCAGUUUUUGCAGCCAUUUUAGGAGGGGGAUCCAGUUGCUUUAUUGAUUAAGCUUCUCCAUUGUAUGUCGUGUCCCAUCUGGGAUGGGAAGAGGGGGAAAUUAUUUUUCUUUGUGGGCCAUUUCCGUAUAGACU